UGCUCUAGGAUGCUGCGGCAGGUUCUGCACAGGGGCUUGAGGACGUGUUUCUCCCGGCUCGGCCACUUCAUUGCCAGUCACCCGGUCUUCUUCGCCUCGGCGCCCGUGCUCAUCUCCAUCCUGCUCGGCGCCAGCUUCAGCCGCUACCAGGUCGAGGAGAGCGUGGAGCACCUGCUGGCGCCCCAGCACAGCCUCGCCAAGAUCGAGCGCAACCUCGUCAACAGCCUCUUCCCGGUCAACCGCUCCAAGCACCGACUCUACUCGGACCUGCAGACCCCCGGGCGCUACGGUCGGGUCAUCGUCACCUCCUUCCAGAAAGCCAACAUGCUGGACCAGCAUCACACCGACCUGAUCUUAAAG